UACCAUCUCAGUGUAAUCCAAAAUUAGAAGUCUUGAGCAUCGGCGUUAGUGUUUGGAUGCGAUGAUAAAGUCCGCUCUUAUUCGUUCUUGUUCCUCUCCUUUGCUUGUCCUAAGGAUUUCCAUCGUACAAAUUUUUCCUGCAGGAAAGCUGUUUCAACCAUCACUUGUUCUUCUUCUUCUUCCUCUUCCUCUUCCACUUCCUCAAGGAGCAGUCCUCACAUUCCUAAGCUCGAGCCGUUUAGCCGAACCAGGCUCGAAAGAGCUAUCAAGGAACCGCCGUUGAUUGAGAAGUCCGAGAAUGAACUCGCCGAUUAUUGUUCGACGCUUGAAGGUGAUGAUUCUUAUAGCUGCUGGAAAGCGUAUUUUGAGCUGAAAGAUUUGGAAAGAGAGUCACCGAAAGAGGAUGUAGAGAAGUUGAUUCUGCAAGCAGGUGGAGUGAAGUCCUUGAUCGGAUGCUUACAUGGAAUUUCCUCGAUGCACAAAGGAAGGCAGAAUGGUUUUGGUUUAAUGGCACCAAUGACUGUGGAGAAAGAAAGAGACGGACCAUGUCCAAUACCAGACGGAUUGCCAAAAUCUAAGGAAGAGCUAGAAGAGGAAGAGAGAGCUAGAAUGCCUGAUUCACCUUAUACUAGAUUACUCAGAACUAAAGGAAGCUUUCCUGCUUGGUACACUCCUACUCCUGACCAUGAAACAGAUUGAUCAUAUAGAGAACUUUUGUGAAGUUGCUUCUGUGCAUAAGUUAUAUAAAUAGAAGUGUACAGCGGUGUGAGUUGAUUGUUGCGCU
rnacentral:misc_RNA from 1 species